UACGUAGGAGGCAAGCGUUGUCCGGAUUUAUUGGGUUUAAAGGGUGCGUAGGCGGCUUUGUAAGUCAGUGGUGAAAUAUGGCAGCUUAACUGUCAGGGUGCCAUUGAUACUGCAGAGCUUGAGUACAGAUGAGGUAGGCGGAAUUGACGGUGUAGCGGUGAAAUGCUUAGAUAUGACACAGAACACCGAUUGCGAAGGCAGCUCACUAAACUGUAACUGACGCUGAGGCACGAAAGCGUGGGGAGCAAACAGG
rnacentral:rRNA from 1 species